rnacentral:rRNA from 1 species
GGCACCACAAGAACGCGUGGAGCAUGUGGCUUAAUUUGACUCAACGCGGGAAAUCUUACCGGGUCCGGACACACUGAGGAUUGACAGGCAAUAUUAAUAUUAUUUUAUUAUAUGUAUUAUGUUAAAUAUGCUAGUCCUUUCAUGAUUAUGUGAUAGGUGGUGCAUGGCCGUUCUUAGUUCGUGGAGUGAUCUGUCUGCUUAAUUGCGUUUCACUAAGGGCCUAUAAAUUUACGUAUGUUGCAUCGCACUUUGACCCCUUUCUUAAUUGAAAGCGCGUGUCUUAGUUUCCGCUUUGCUCAUACAAUUAGGUCCUGAAAGCAACGAACGUGACCGCAACCUCUUGUUGCCUUUAUACCAAACAUGUUUAUUCAUUUUUUAAUGUUCAUUCAUGAAAAAAGGCUUUUUAAACUAGAGGGACCGCUGUUACUUUCUUAAACCAGAGGAAGGUUGCGGCAAUAACAGGUCUGUGAUGCCCUUAGAUGUUCCGGGCUGCACACGUGCUACAAUGAUUAUUGCAGUGAGCAUCUCAUUUUUACACACCGCAUGCGCGAGUCCAUUUAUUCACCUUCGGGUGUUUUAAAUGUGUACCUCUGCGCGCGGUAAAGCCUGCUUCGAGAGCAAGUGGGUAAUCAAUUAGAAGUAAUGAUUUCCUUUUUUUUAGCACACAUAUAUACGGCGUCUAUGCCCGGGUUACCUUGUUGUAGCUUUUGUCCGUAUAGAUGUUUUUUCCGUAUGUGCGAUUGUCAAUUCAUGGUGGGGACAGACCAUUGUUAAUUGUUGGUCUCGGUCUUACCUAGGAAUGCCUUGUACGGGUCUUUGGUUCAACAAACCACCCGGAAUACGUCCCUGCCCUUUGUACACACCGCCCGUCGCUCUUACCGAUGGACUUCUCUGUGAGUUGAGGGACUGGGAACGCAGGAAUUUAUUUCUGCACACCUAUGGAAACUUAAACGAA